GGAUUGUGGCUCAGUGUAAAGUGCUUGCCUCAUAUGGGUGAGACACUGGGUUCGAUCCCCAGCACCA
rnacentral:tRNA from 1 species